UUACCUUGUGGACAAUUUAAUACUGCUUCUAUCAAUGCAAUAUGCAUCUUCUUCAUAAGACUUCAAUUUCCACUGCAACCAAUUUGACACUUGUUCCCCUCAAAUAUACAAAACUAGUGGAUUAGAAAGUGCUUUGCAAAAAGUAUACAUUGUAUCGUUUGUGCAAAAAAAAAAAAAGCUGAGUAACUGCUUUAAUGAGAAUUCCCCAGUUAAAUACGAGUCCAUCUGAGAUUGCAGGCUAAUGUCUGUAUCGGCUUUGAUAUUUAUGCUAAGAACCUUUUAAAAUAAAACGUCAAAAUGUUAUCAAUUUAGGAGCCAUAUGGUCACUUUUCUGAAUUUUGACCUUUUUUCCCUUUGCCAAACACUCUUCCUGCAGUGAGAACUUUCACUUGUCUGUAUCUGGCCUUGGAAUGUGGCAGUUCCCCAGUAUCCCAGUUUCCACCUCUGUCAGCACAAACAGCAAUUUGAUGCUCUUCCCUCCCCCACUUUACUUAUCUUAGGCUGCAAAUAAAUAAUCUGAAACCCAAGUUGACCCAUACUAGCAAUGAGCUUUGCUAUAAGGAAACACGGUUUGGAACUGUUCCCUUUUGAGUUUGUGAAUUGGACUUUAAAUGGAUCAUGCAAAUAGUUUAGCCAUAAUGGGACUGAAGCUUGUGCCAAACAUCUCAGAAUCAAAGGGACAAUAAA